rnacentral:tRNA from 1 species
GCGCGUGUAAGCCGCUAAAGGUUAAGCGGAGUAUGUUCUUUUUUCAAAAGUUUUUCCGAAAGUAAAUAACUUGCAGGUUCAAAUCCUGUCACGCGCA